CCUACGGGCGGCAGCAGUGAGGAAUAUUGGUCAAUGGGCGCGAGCCUGAACCAGCCAAGUCGCGUGAGGGAAGACGGUCCUAUGGAUUGUAAACCUCUUUUGUCGGGGAGCAACAGACGCCACGCGUGGCGUUCCGAGAGUACCCGAAGAAAAAGCAUCGGCUAACUCCGUGCCAGCAGCCGCGGUAAUACGGGGGAGGCGAGCGUUAUCCGGAGUUAUUGGGUUUAAAGGGUGCGCAGGAGGAAGAUCAAGUCAGCGGGAAAAUUGAGAGGGUCAACCUCUUCGAGCCGUUGAAACUGGUUUUCUUGAGUGAGUGAGAAGUAUGCGGAAUGCGUGGUGUAGCGGUGAAAUGCAUAGAUAUCACGCAGAACUCCGAUUGCGAAGGCAGCAUACCGGCGCUCAACUGACGCUCAUGCACGAAAGUGUGGGUAUCGAACAGGAUUAGAUACCCGAGUAGUC
rnacentral:rRNA from 1 species